rnacentral:lncRNA from 1 species
GGACUUGAAGUGUCAGAGGUGUCCAAUAGAUGACAUAGGUGUUCUUGUUUAUCAUGUGAUGGUGGAUUGUUGUGUGGUUGUCAAAAGUUUUCCUAUAUUUUUCAAUUUUUACAUGAAAAUUUCCUAUGAAUUCAUAAGAAGGAACGCGAAAGGCAACUAGCCAACUACAAGUAGCCUACCAUCAAUUCUUUCAUAAAAAAUUGUCGUUCUACUGAAUGCUUCAUCCUAUUAGUACAGGUCACUAACCCCAGCGUGGACACACAUUGUUUUUCCCAACAUGUUUACACAAAGAAUGCUAUGGGAACAUAAUAGGAUACCCACAUAUAAUCAAGGCUAUGGGUAAUAAUCAUCAGGUUUAUUGCAGCAACUCGAAGAAUUCACAUGAAAAGAUGCAGGGCACAUACCAACAUGUGUUGUAUUUUUCUGAAUGUUUUACUCAAGCAGUAGAAGCAAUUAACUUUAGUUUAUUGCAUUAAUGUUGGAAUGUUUAUUGAAAUAUUUCCUUAGAUUCAACAUUACUAACUGUUUGAUGCCAAAGUAAGUUGGAACUCUAACUCAAACACUGAUUCUUUUCCAGUUUUCUCAAAAAAUUGGAAAGCUGCUGGAGUAAUCUAUCUAGUGUCCAUCCCCAUUUGAUUCAUUUUGAUUCAUUUCGUGCCAGCUGGUUGAAAGGCGUGACGAAUUCAAAUUUAGCUGCUGCGUGCUGUCUGCAAGCAAGCAAUCCAAUUGCCUGUCGCUAGGUGGCGCUAGUGUCUUCAUGGACUAAAUUCGGCCAUUUUGUCCCUUAACGCAGCCGAAGUGGGAUGCCGGUCGUGACGUUUCGCAUGUGCAAAGAUGAUUUCAAUGCCACUUUGUCAAAUCAUCUAACUCGGACUUGGGUGCCUGAACAUUUUGCCGAAAUGUCGUGCCUCGUGUGUCUUGCUGCCAGUCGUACGUCUCGUCCCAUGCCAAAGCAAAAGUCUGCUGUUGGUUUACUUGUUGCAGCGAGAUGGUGAAAGGUGUGAUGACGUCUAAUUUAACCAUUGUAUGCAGCGUGUUGUUGCAGUGUUAUCCAGAAGUAGCUGCUCAGUGUGGCAGUAUCCUGAAGCAGCCUGAAGCCUGAAGUUGCCAGUGAUAUCCGGGUUGCUGACUUGGAAAUUUUUCUGUUUUCAUUUGUGUCUUUUGCUCUGCCAGUGGUAUCCUGAGUUGCAGACUUUAAAUCUUUCUAUCUGUUCUCAUUUGUGUGUGUUUUUUUUUUUUCUCUACCACUGAUUUCCUGUGUUGGUGUUUUGAAAUAGUUUCAUCUGUCGUCUUUGGCGUUUUUACUUGUGCACAUGUGCAGUAUACGAUUGAGGCAACCUGUCCUAUGACAGGUUUGACUCGGUCGACAACUGCUAGAUUAAAUUCCGGCUUUCUGCACCAACAAAAUAAUAACGGCACAU